UUAAUCAUAAGUCUUCAAGGACAGGAACUGCCGUUUAGAAACCUGUCUCCCUGCCAGUAUGCAGUGUGUUUAAAGAUAAAAUACAUUGUGUUCAAUGGGGGGAACAGACAUUUAA